rnacentral:rRNA from 1 species
AGAGUUUGAUCCUGGCUCAGGACGAACGCUGGCGGCGUGCUUAACACAUGCAAGUCGAACGAGAAUCUACUGAAAGAGUUUUCGGACAAUGGAUGUAGAGGAAAGUGGCGGACGGGUGAGUAACGCGUGAGGAACCUGCCUUGAAGAGGGGGACAACAGUUGGAAACGACUGCUAAUACCGCAUGACGCAUAGAGGUCGCAUGAUCUUUAUGCCAAAGAUUUAUCGCUUCAAGAUGGCCUCGCGUCUGAUUAGCUAGUUGGCGGGGUAACGGCCCACCAAGGCGACGAUCAGUAGCCGGACUGAGAGGUUGACCGGCCACAUUGGGACUGAGAUACGGCCCAGACUCCUACGGGAGGCAGCAGUGGGGAAUAUUGGGCAAUGGGCGCAAGCCUGACCCAGCAACGCCGCGUGAAGGAAGAAGGCUUUCGGGUUGUAAACUUCUUUUAAGAGGGAAGAGUAGAAGACGGUACCUCUAGAAUAAGCCACGGCUAACUACGUGCCAGCAGCCGCGGUAAUACGUAGGUGGCAAGCGUUGUCCGGAUUUACUGGGUGUAAAGGGCGUGCAGCCGGGUCUGCAAGUCAGAUGUGAAAUCCAUGGGCUCAACCCAUGAACUGCAUUUGAAACUGUAGAUCUUGAGUGUCGGAGGGGCAAUCGGAAUUCCUAGUGUAGCGGUGAAAUGCGUAGAUAUUAGGAGGAACACCAGUGGCGAAGGCGGAUUGCUGGACGAUAACUGACGGUGAGGCGCGAAAGUGUGGGGAGCAAACAGGAUUAGAUACCCUGGUAGUCCACACUGUAAACGAUGAAUACUAGGUGUGCGGGGACUGACCCCCUGCGUGCCGCAGUAAACACAAUAAGUAUUCCACCUGGGGAGUACGAUCGCAAGGUUGAAACUCAAAGGAAUUGACGGGGGCCCGCACAAGCGGUGGAUUAUGUGGUUUAAUUCGAAGCAACGCGAAGAACCUUACCAGGGUUUGACAUCCUGCUAACGAAGUAGAGAUACAUUAGGUGCCCUUCGGGGAAAGCAGAGACAGGUGGUGCAUGGUUGUCGUCAGCUCGUGUCGUGAGAUGUUGGGUUAAGU